GUUCCUGCGGUGUAAUUUGGCACGUUAGAUUUUCAUUCUAAAGGUAUAAGAUAAAUUUAUUAGGAAUA
rnacentral:tRNA from 2 species